rnacentral:rRNA from 1 species
GACGAACGCUGGCGGCGUGCCUAACACAUGCAAGUCGAACGGGAUCCAUGGAGUGCUUGCACUCCGGAAGAUCUAGUGGCGAACGGGUGAGUAACACGUGAGAAACCUGCCCCAGACUCUGGGAUAACCUCGGGAAACCGAAGCUAAUACCGGAUAUUCUCCUUUGGUCGCAUGGCCAGUUGAGGAAAGUUUUUCGGUCUGGGAGGGUCUCGCGGCCUAUCAGCUAGUUGGUGGGGUAACGGCCCACCAAGGCUACGACGGGUAGCUGGUUUGAGAGAACGAUCAGCCACACUGGAACUGAGACACGGUCCAGACUCCUACGGGAGGCAGCAGUGGGGAAUCUUGCGCAAUGGGCGAAAGCCUGACGCAGCAACGCCGCGUGCGGGAUGAAGGCCUUCGGGUUGUAAACCGCUUUCAGCAGGACGAAAAUAGACGGUACCUGCAGAAGAAGCCCGGCUAACUACGUG